rnacentral:rRNA from 1 species
AUUGAACGCUGGCGGCAGGCUUAACACAUGCAAGUCGAACGAGUGGCGGACGGGUGAGUAAUGCUUGGGAAUCUCGCUUAUGGAGGGGGAUAACUACGGGAAACUGUAGCUAAUACCGCGUAACAUAGGAUGAGCCCAAGUGGGAUUAGGUAGUUGGUGAGGUAAAGGCUCACCAAGCCGACGAUCUCUAGCUGGUCUGAGAGGAUGACCAGCCACACUGGGACUGAGACACGGCCCAGACUCCGACGGGAGGCAGCAGGGGGGAAUCGUGCGCAAUGGGGGAAACCGUACGCAGCAAGGCCGCCUGAAUGAAGAAGUCCUUCGGGUUGUAAAGUUCUUUCGGUAGCGAGGCGUUAACUAAAGAAGAAGCACCGGCUAACUCCGUGCCAGCAGCCGCGGUAAUAC